UUUCCGUAGGUGAACCUGCGGAAGGAUCAUUACUGAGGUAUGCUUGGUGUCGCGUCAGCGCGCCGGUUACCCGCCCAUUUGUCAUACGUGCUGGAGUCCUCCCGCCUUCUGGCGGGGGGAGGACAGUGAUAUCGCUUCGGUCGAGGUGUUGCGUCCGGUCCCUGCUCUGCAGGCCGGAUGUGUCCGCGACCGGCCGUAUUUUACACUCUUUGUGAGAACAUGAAGUCUGAAGCAAUAUGAAAAUAUAGCAAAACUUUCAACAACGGAUCUCUUGGCUCUG
rnacentral:misc_RNA from 1 species